GGGGGGAGCGCCGGAUGGUGGGCUGUGUCCCCCGCGCCCUGUGCUCCUGGGCCUGUGCUAUUGGAUUCGCACUCCCCAGCCGAGUAGCCCCCU
rfam:Canis lupus familiaris chromosome X, whole genome shotgun sequence.